AUUAAGGUGGCAGAUAAUUGCAUAAGAUUUAAGCUCUUACUAUGAAAUAUUUUUCUCUUAAUA
rnacentral:tRNA from 1 species